AGAGUUUGAUCCUGGGCUCAGGACUGAACGCUGGCGGCGUAGCUUAACACAUGCAAGUCGAACGGACCCUAUAUUGAAACCUAGUGAUAUAUGGGUUAGUGGCGGACGGGUGAGUAACGCGUGGGCAACCUGCCUUACACAGGGGGAUAACACUUUAGAAAUAGGUGCUAAAACCGCAUAAGCGCACAGCUUCGCAUGAAGCGGUGUGAAAAACUCCGGUGGUGUAAGAUGGACCCGCGUCUGAUUAGCUUGUUUGGCGGGGUAACGGCCCACCAAGGCGACGAUCAGUAGCCGGCCUGGGAGGGCGGACGGCCACAUUGGGACUGAGACACGGCCCAGACUCCUACGGGAGGCAGCAGUGGGGAAUAUUGCACAAUGGGGGAAACCCUGAUGCAGCGACGCCGCGUGAGUGAAGAAGUAAUUCGUUACGUAAAGCUCUAUCAGCAGGGAAGAAAAUGACGGUACCUGAGUAAGAAGCCCCGGCUAACUACGUG
rnacentral:rRNA from 1 species